rnacentral:rRNA from 1 species
CAUAAGUACUGGAAUGUUUUAUGGCUCAAAUCUACAUGGCCUCUGGAUUGGACUGCGGCCGAUCAGGCUGUUGGUGAGGUAAUGGCCCACCAAACCUUUUUACCGGUACGGGCUCUGAGAGGAGGAGCCCGGAGAUGGGCACUGAGACAAGGGCACAGGCCCUAUGGGGCGCAGCAGGCGCGAAACCUCUGCAAUAGGCGAAAGCUUGACAGGGUUACUCUGAGUGAUUCCCGCUAAGGGAAUCUUUUGGCAUCUCUAAAAACGAUGCAGAAUAAGGGGUGGGCAAGUCUGGUGUCAGCCGCCGCGGUAAUACCAGCACCCCGAGUGGUCGGGACGAUUAUUGGGCCUAAAGCAUCCGUAGCCGGUCUUGCAAGUCUUCCGUUAAAUCCACCUGCUUAACAGAUGGGCUGCGGAAGAUACUACAAGACUAGGAGGCGGGAGAGGCAAGCGGUACUCAGUGGGUAGGGGUAAAAUCCUCUGAUCCAUUGAAGACCACCAGUGGCGAAGGCGGCUUGCCAGAACGCGCUCGACGGUGAGGGAUGAAAGCUGGGGGAGCAAACCGGAUUAGAUACCCGGGUAGUCCCAGCUGUAAACGAUGCAGACUCGGUGAUGGGCCGGCUUCAUGCCGGCUCAGUGCCGCAGGGAAGCCGUUAAGUCUGCCGCCUAGGGAGUACGGUCGCAAGACUGAAACUUAA